GCCCGGCUAGCUCAUUCGGUAGAACAUGAGACUAUUAAUCUUAGGGUCGUGAGUUCGGGCCCACGUUAGGGG